GCAGAAUUUGAACGGAGCACGUGUGCAGUGUGUUACAGUGAAAAGUUAAAAUGAUAAUUAAAGGAAGAUUUGGACCUUCAGAACCUUGUGCUACACCGUUUAAAAAAUCAACGCCACGACAAUGUGAACACGUUUUCGUGGCACGAUAUGCACCAAAAUACUGUAAAGGACAUCUAUUUUAUUAGGCUCCUUAAAGAUGCGGAACUGGAACAUAUUCCGGGAACUACCCAUAUAAAUCAUUUCUUCAACUCGGCUAAAGAUAGGUUUAACAAACUGUAAUUAUAUUAAUUUACACUGAAUUUUAAUUCCCGCAUUCCUUAUAUUUUACAAAAAGACUUAAUAAAAAUGUUCUAUCAUUAAAUUGAAAAAUAUAAACAGAAAAAUAUAAAGAAAAUAUCUAAAAAUUAGAUAAAGUUUUAGUAUUUCGGUUUUUCGAUCGAAUUUCGUAUCAAACAUCCGAAAAAUUUCCGAAUUUUGCAUUAAAAACAUCCUAUUAUUUUCCUAUUUUCGAAUGAAUUAUUCGAUUUUUUUCCGAUUUUCGAAUAAAACUAUAGAAUAUAUAAACUCCAAAAAUGCAUGACAUGUAUUUUUAUGGUGUUAGUGAAAAUUUGUAUGUAUGCUUCACACCUACGAUACUUUUUUUGAUUUUUCUCGUUCAUGAUGCUCGAUUUUGACGUGUGUGGAGGGAUCAUGCAUAUUCUUAUUUGCGACGUUUUUAUACCCUCCAACACAGUAUGGAGGGUAUAUAAAGUUUGCUUCCGAACGAAAUGAAGUAGGUGCAUAAAAUUUUACUCAAAUGUAUAUUAUGUCUGCAGGACUUUUGGUACUGAAAAUGGGCCAUGUACGUCCACUUUU